CUCCAGGCUGAGACAACCCCAAGUGAACCCUAACCCUUGGCCAAGCCCUGUUCCCUGAGCUUGGGGUGGGGGGGGCAGUCAGUCACAGACGGCUCACCACCUGCUGCCCCACAUCCGGCACAGGAUACGCUGUAUGGGUGCUUUCCCCUCAGUGGCACUUUCUGACCCUGCUGCCCAUGGUCCCACCCUGCUUGCACCUCACUGCCUGCGUGCCUGCGUACCCCAGCCGAAGAUCGUGAAGCCCCAGAGGUACUUCUUCUCUGAGAAGAAGGCCAUGAAGAUGAGACUGUGCAGGGACCAUGGACUAGAGGAAGAAGGUCUAGUUUCCAGUGCCAGCCGGACUCCUGAAGAGCUGCCCACCUCACGCAGGAAAGGGACUCAAGGAAGAGACCAGCUUGAGACUGGGGCAGGAGCUGUGAGGUCAGGACUUCUUUGAGCCGCUUCUCACAUUGGGCCUGGGCACGGUGCAGCAAGAAGAUCUGCUCCUCUUUGGUCAUGACGUCAUCUGCAUCCACCUACCAAGCCGAAGCAUGUACACCCUGGGUAUUGGCUGCCACCCACGAGGAUUCACUGGCAUCAUUUUAAGGAAGGGAGCAGGAACGUCACGGAGGUGGGGGUGAGAUGGGACUCACUCUGAGCCUCUGUUUCCCUGACUUAGGGUUGGAAGGAAGUCAGGGGGUAAAGGCAGCAUCCCGCCCUGGGAAAAACUCAGUGUGCCCAAGCCCAGCCACUCCCAUGAGUGGGACCCACAAGAGGUUAAUGCAUCCCCUCAGACCCCACCUUCACCCCCAAGUCAGGGCCAUGUCCCCGCAGACCCCCAGGACAGAGCCUGGUUCCCUUAGACCUCCAACAGGCAGAGCUGCAUCCCCUCAGACAUCCCCUGUCAGGGCCCGGUCCCUUCAGUCUGAGCGGAGCUUUGGAGGGUGGGAGAGCCCA